GUUUGAGUCCUGCCUCCUCCACGCAUCCUUGACAGAAGUGCUGAAACUCUAGUGAUGCAUAUUGGGGUCCGUUAUCUGAGAUAACAAUGUCCGGAAUCCCUUGUCGUAAAAGUGGGCCUUGAGUUUCUUGAUCACUGUGUUACUCUUCGUGUCACGUAGAUAAUCAACCUCCCAAAAGUUUGAAAAAUAGUCUACUGUUAUCAGAUAGUCUUUAUUGUGAAAGGAGAAAAGGUCUUUCCUCCCUUGGCCCAGGGUCUGCUUGCCAUGUCAUGUGGGUGUAGUGUCUCUCUUUGUUGCUUUGGGUCCACUGACCUACAUAUGUCACAUUUGGAGAUAAAAGUCUUGAUCUCCUCAUUCAUUCCAAGCCAGUAUACACACUCCCUCGCUCGCCUCAGACAUCCCUCUACUCCCAGGUGAGAGGAGUGGAUCCUGUGAGUGAUGUCCACCCUGAAUGCGUCAGGUAUCGCGGCUCUGUCCCCUCGGAACACUAUGUCAUCCUGGAAACUCAUCUUGGAAGGUGUGGUAGUGCCUGAUGUCACUUGCCCUGAUGGCACUCAGCCUCUCUGCUGAAAUGGGGGAAGGUUAUUCAGGAGCAGCAUGCAUAUCUGAAAAGAAAACACAAGAUGGUCCAGCUUCAAAGAAACCACAGCUGUUGUGAAUUUGAGAAAAGCUUUUCUUUCUGUGACGCAUGAAAAGAUCUCAGCAAGUUCUUCCUGUUCUACCCCACUCGUCUUAAACUGGGUUACAUAUGUGCGGUGAGAAUGAAUCAACCGUAUUGCUUUAGUUAUGUUUGCUUUCAACUCCAAAUAAACUAUAAUUCCGCAGAGCUUGUCAAUUGUAGAUUGUGCUGAUUGCGAAGGCCAUUUUGGUAAAGCGAGUUCUACUAUAGGGAUAAAUAAAUGUUGCUUGACUAGUGUAAAUCCACCCAUCAUCCUUCAGAAUUCUACAAUUUAAUAUUUAUUCCUGAAACCCAGAUGUCAUCCUUCUGACGCAAGUUUUAUGACCCUUUAUUUAGUUGAAUCAACAACAAGGUUGAAAUAGACGUGUAGAAAAAAAAUACAUGAGUAAAGCAUCUCCCACUGUCAGUGGGUGGAAAACAAUUCAUGACAUGCAGGAAAAUGCAAAGCCAUGAAUAACAUGUUCUAUUAAGAGAGUGUUUUCAGGAUGACGUGUUUGUGUUGGCCAACCCUAGAAGCUAGUGUCCUGCAUCAAGCAUUGGAUAUGUUUUUUUCACAAAUUAACUGCACUAAUAUUUUUGGAGCGGGAUACCAUCUAAAAAGUAAAGUUAGGUAGGUAAAGUUAGGUAAAAAAAGUAAAAAGAUGACACACUAAACUUUUGAACUAUAGUCUCGUAAACUUGAGUUUCCUCAACAGGGCUGUAAAGGCAGACUAGUUGGUGUGAUGUCUUUGGAGUCUUAUUUGGCCCCUUUAUACGGGUAUACAGGUAAAAAAUUCAUGAAUGAGGUAUUUACUGACUUUUUUAAUAUUACAGAACAGAUGCUAUUAAAUAUCUUCAGCAUGUUAACAACAAGCCUUCUUUCAGGCAUCUAACCAAAAGAAAGAUUCAAAAGAGGUUUAAACAAACAAAACAAAAGGGAAAAGAGAACUAGAGGUGUAAAACGCAGGUUAUUCUUUUUAAGGCUUUAGUACUCUUUCCUGCAGUCUUCUGUUGGUAUUAUGUAAAUAAAAUAGGUGAAUGGAAACACAUUUAAUGUAACUGCUAUUGAAAAACAGUCAGACAAGAUUCUACCUAUUCUACCUAAAUAUUCUCACAGAGGGCCAUUGGAGGAUAGAAUCUGUCUGGGACCUUUGGCACAGCCCCCACCUGUCCGUUCUUUAUUUCUUUCUGACUCUCACUCACACGCAGACAAAACAGGUGUUUUCAGUAGUUCUACACAAAACAUCUUCAAAUAAAUCUUUAAAUUUACACUGUAAUCGUGAACCAACUUGAAAUUAAAAUCAGAUGAAAGAGAAUCUAAUGUUUACAGUUGUAAAAAAUUCAGAAAUUGCACCGACCUUUCCACACCACAGGCUUCUUAACAUGCAACUAUUUGCGCCACACUGAACCUAAGGGUAACAAGAAACCAGUUCUACCUGUUAUGAUCACACCUGCCUAGGGCUCUAAACUUGCCCUGGACAAUAAGGUCAACGGGGUGGAUGCUACGCCCAACCCCCCGUUGGGGGGGGGGGGGGGAGUAACAAAAGUGGAAGCUCUGUUUUUUUUUUGCGUGAGAAAUUGGAUGUGUGGCGGAAGUGCGUGAGAACAGAGCGAAAUGAGUGACUGUGAGUGACUGGCACUAGAGAAGCCUGCCUGCCAGUCCUUUUAUCAGUGGUGAAAAAAAUAAAAUGUUUCCGUCUAGUUUUAAUAAAUAGAAAUUAUAAAAAUCAGAAAUAAAUAACAUUUAUUUCAAAUUUAUGAAUUUAGCCUGCGACCUGACGAGAAAAUUACAUAUAAAGUGGACCAGUACCGGACCGUGGGCCAUUUGGUAUCGGGGCGCAAUACAGAAAGAAUAUAUAACUUUUAUUUUUUGUCAUUAGACUUUUUUUUUAUGAAACAUUAUUGAAAGAAUUAUAUGAAAAAUUAUUAAAGAAAAUUGACCGGAUUCUCUCCUAAAUAUGUACUCUCGUCCUUCUUGACAUAUUUCCCAAGUGUUUUUUUUUCGCAUUUACAAUUAUGCACUCCUCGCUUCCGCCCACCAGCGGACGGAGAUGCCUUUUGUAUCGAUGGUCAACAGUCUGAUCUUUUGGCGCAGCAGUGACGGAGAAGACCGGGGGUUACUAUCACAGUAUAUGAUAUUGUAAAAUGUAAAA